AUGGCUCCACCGUACCAGCCCCGCCUCUUUGACCGUCGCUCGCUGUUAGCUUGCUUGUUGUUGCUGCUUGGUGCUGCACGGUUGCACUGCUGUUGUGCCCUCCGCCCUGCUUGCCCCUUCCUCUGCUCUGCCUGCGCUACGCUCAUGCGCGUGCGUGGCCGCUCGCCUGAGCGGCUGAGCCCCUGGGCCCUGGCGGCUAGCCACGCCGCGGCGCUGCCCGGAGCAGAUGACGCCGCGGCAGCUUUGCGCCCCGGAGGCCGAGAGCCUGGCCACGCCCCCACUCCCCUCCGCUUACCCUCCGUGUGCUGUGCGCUGCCAGCACCGCAGCAACCGCCGUCCGCGGAUGGGGAUUGCUAGAUUGGAGGAG
rnacentral:lncRNA from 1 species